UACAGAGGUCCCAAGCGUUGUUCGGAUUCACUGGGCGUAAAGGGUGCGUAGGCGGUCGGGUAAGUCUGAUGUGAAAUCUCACAGCCUAACUGUGAAACUGCAUUGGAUACUAUCCGGCUCGAGGAAUGGAGGGGAGACUGGAAUACUUGGUGUAGCAGUGAAAUGCGUAGAUAUCAAGUGGAACACCAGUGGCGAAGGCGAGUCUCUGGACAUUUCCUGACGCUGAGGAGCGAAAGCGUGGGGAGCGAACAGG
rnacentral:rRNA from 1 species